UGGGGAAUUUUGGACAAUGGGCGAAAGCCUGAUCCAGCAAUGCCGCGUGUGUGAAGAAGGCCUUCGGGUUGUAAAGCACUUUUGUCCGGAAAGAAAUCCUUGGCUCUAAUACAGUCGGGGGAUGACGGUACCGGAAGAAUAAGCACCGGCUAACUACGUGCCAGCAGCCGCGGUAAUACGUAGGGUGCAAGCGUUAAUCGGAAUUACUGGGCGUAAAGCGUGCGCAGGCGGUUUGCUAAGACCGAUGUGAAAUCCCCGGGGCUCAACCCGGGAACUGCAUUGGUGACUGGCAGGCUAGAGUAUGGCAGAGGGGGGUUAGAAUUCCACGUGUAGCAGUGAAAGUGCGUAGAGAUGUGGAGGAAUACCGAUGGCGAAGGCAGCCCCCUGGGCCAAUACUGACGCUCAUGCACGAAAGCCGUGGGGGAGCAAACAGGAUUAGAUACCCUGGUAGUCCACGCCCUAAACGAUGUCAACUAGUUGUUGGGGACUUCAUUUCCUUAGUAACGUAGCUAACGCGUGAAGUUGA
rnacentral:rRNA from 1 species